UACGUAGGGUGCAAGCGUUGUCCGGAAUUAUUGGGCGUAAAGAGCUCGUAGGCGGUUUGUCGCGUCGAAUGUGAAAACCCGGGGCUCAACCCCGGGCCUGCAUUCGAUACGGGCAGACUAGAGUUCGGUAGGGGAGUCUGGAAUUCCUGGUGUAGCGGUGAAAUGCGCAGAUAUCAGGAGGAACACCGGUGGCGAAGGCGGUUCUCUGGGACGGUACUGACGCUGAGACGCGAAAGCGUGGGGAGCGAACAGG
rnacentral:rRNA from 1 species